UACGGGGGGUGCAAGCGUUGUUCGGAUUUACUGGGCGUAAAGGGCGUGUAGGCGGUCAGCACAAGUCAGUUGUGAAAUCUCCGGGCUUAACUCGGAACGGUCAGCUGAUACUGUUUUGCUAGAGUGCAGAAGGGGCAAUCGGAAUUCUCGGUGUAGCGGUGAAAUGCGUAGAUAUCGAGAGGAACACCUGAGGUGAAGACGGGUUGCUGGGCUGACACUGACGCUGAUGCGCGAAAGCCAGGGUAGCAAACGGG
rnacentral:rRNA from 1 species